rnacentral:rRNA from 1 species
AUUGAACGCUGGCGGCAGGCCUAACGCACGCAAGUCGAGCGGAAACGAGUUAUCAGAACCUUCGGGGGACGAUAACGGCGUCGAGCGGCGGACGGGUGAGUAAUGCCUAGGAAAUUGCCCUGAUGUGGGGGAUAACCAUUGGAAACGAUGGCUAAUACCGCAUGAUGCCUACGGGCCAAAGAGGGGGACCUUCGGGCCUCUCGCGUCAGGAUAUGCCUAGGUGGGAUUAGCUAGUUGGUGAGGUAAGGGCUCACCAAGGCGACGAUCCCUAGCUGGUCUGAGAGGAUGAUCAGCCACACUGGAACUGAGACACGGUCCAGACUCCUACGGGAGGCAGCAGUGGGGAAUAUUGCACAAUGGGCGCAAGCCUGAUGCAGCCAUGCCGCGUGUGUGAAGAAGGCCUUCGGGUUGUAAAGCACUUUCAGUUGUGAGGAAGGCGGUGUAGUUAAUAGCUGCAUCGUUUGACGUUAGCGACAGAAGAAGCACCGGCUAACUCCGUGCCAGCAGCCGCGGUAAUACGGAGGGUGCGAGCGUUAAUCGGAAUUACUGGGCGUAAAGCGCAUGCAGGUGGUUUGUUAAGUCAGAUGUGAAAGCCCGGGGCUCAACCUCGGAAUUGCAUUUGAAACUGGCAGACUAGAGUACUGUAGAGGGGGGUAGAAUUUCAGGUGUAGCGGUGAAAUGCGUAGAGAUCUGAAGGAAUACCGGUGGCGAAGGCGGCCCCCUGGACAGAUACUGACACUCAGAUGCGAAAGCGUGGGGAGCAAACAGG